UGGGGAAUUUUGGACAAUGGGCGCAAGCCUGAUCCAGCCAUGCCGCGUGCGGGAAGAAGGCCUUCGGGUUGUAAACCGCUUUUGUCAGGGAAGAAAUUGCUCGGGCUAAUACCCUGGGCCGAUGACGGUACCUGAAGAAUAAGCACCGGCUAACUACGUGCCAGCAGCCGCGGUAAUAUGUAGGGUGCGAGCGUUAAUCGGAAUUACUGGGCGUAAAGCGUGCGCAGGCGGUCGUGCAAGACAGAUGUGAAAUCCCCGGGCUCAACCUGGGAACUGCAUUUGUGACUGCACGGCUUGAGUACGGUAGAGGAGGAUGGAAUUCCGCGUGUAGCAGUGAAAUGCGUAGAUAUGCGAGGAACACCGAUGGCGAAGGCAGUCCCCUGGGCCUGUACUGACGCUCAU
rnacentral:rRNA from 1 species